rnacentral:lncRNA from 1 species
GCCAUACUUUUCGAGUGUCUUCCAGAGUUUUGCAUGGUUUACUCUGUCAAAAGCCUUCUCUUGGUCUUUAACGGACGAUGUUGGACGAUGAUUCUAUAUAGGCCCUACAAUUGCAAUUUUUAAUUGACCGUGCUAUAAUCUUACAGUAGUUCAAUGGUAACAUUCGGCAUUUAUUUGUAAUGUGGUCUUAUGUUGAACUAUAUUUUGGUAUACUCCUUUACACCACAAUUCAUGGCGAUCGCACCGAAUUCCUUCUUAUUCUUAUUCUGUUUUGUGUUUUUUUCAGGGAGUUGAGGGGGGGGGGGGGGGGGGCAUUCAAAUUAAUAGAAAAACGAUGUUCAAGAAAUUUGUAGGUAUACCGAAUUAAUAUUUUGUAAUGAGUUCUCUCAGUAUUCUUUAGGUACUCCAGCAUUGGUGCCAUUAGGAUACAUUACGUAGUAGUGAUUUGUUGCCAAAUUCUUUUCUCUAUAGCUGUUAUUUUUGUUUUGUUUUACCAACAGAUUGGUAAUUCACUAAUCAGCUUGUGUAUUUUCCCAGCUUUGCUAAUCUGUGAAGGCCCAGCUGACAACUGAUAAGUUUGACUCAUGACUGUAAAUCCACAAGACUGAAUGUCAGGUCAACUACAGUGGCCCGUCUAGGUAAAGAAAGCAAAGGUGUCCUAAUAUGGGGUUGCUCACUCUAGUACAAGAUGAGGAACACCUCACUCAUUGGUGAUGGAGAUUCAAAAUCAUUCCCACUUUAUUGGCCCUCAAGCCCUAUGAUUCCAUACUCAUAAAGGAGGUGGCGUGUGUCAACCAAUGUGGCAAAACAUCUCAGCUCUGUACUUUGCGAAAUCUGGGAGCCAUCGAGGAAAAGAGAGGUGUAACGCUUGGAGAGAAAGCCUUUGGCGCACUGACUCAGGAGAAGAUUGGAUGUCUCCAGUCCUAUUACACAAAACCUCUGGGGUCGUUCACUGCUAAUGUAAGAAGCAGUUGUGGCCACGUUGCUGCACAACACCAGCAUAGGUGGAGACCCACAUCAUGACAGAUGCCCACUUACUGGUGACAACAACUGGUGCUUUUACAUUAUAACACAGACAGGUCAAACACAGAAGACUCAAAAUCACGCAUCAGUAGAACUGUGCCUGCGGUCCCAUUUUUAUUUUUCCUUCUUUAUCUUUAAAAAAUAUCCUUUGAACUACAGAUCCCUCGAACUACGGAUGCCUCGAACUACUGAGGCCAGUUCCAACAAAUUCGAGCUAUCUGUGUUAUACUGUACUUUUACAAAAGGCAUUACAGCCAAGGAAGCACAGCACCAUCACACAAGGGAAGGCUUUCUACCCACCUCAAACCCCUUCACUUAUGAAGCCUGUGCACCACAGAUGAGCUAAUGGAGAUCAAGUAUGUGCCUGGCGUGACACAAAAACAGAAUGGGAGUUUCCAUAUGUUCACCCCUGGUUGAAGCAGUGAGUGCCCUAAGACGGUCUUUGUGACCAAACCAAGAGUAAAAGCUGCUUUUGCUAUCAUUACUGCAGACCGGAAGUUGGGGGCCCUUGGCACCCAGACCUUUAUGCCGUUUCUGAAGUUACAGAUCUCAGCCCAAACCAUGGGGGCAUCAGAAGGGACUGUCCGCAAAUAUAGAGGGCAAAGACUGGAAUUGAGGGUGUGGCUUAGAAAAACAGGAAAGGAACCAUCUUUUAGAGGAGGAAAAUUGGACUGGCAGACGUCUCUACUGCCCAGGAAGAGGGACUGAUUAGGAAUAAAGAAGUCCUUCUGCAA